rnacentral:rRNA from 1 species
AACGAACGCUGGCGGCAUGCCUAACACAUGCAAGUCGAACGGAUGCAGCAAUGCAUCAGUGGCAGACGGGUGAGUAACACGUGGGAAUCUACCCAGUAGCCUGGCAUAACCGCGGGAAACUGCGGCUAAUACCGGAUACGCCCCUCGGGGGAAAGGAGCAAUCCACUAUUGGAGGAGCCCGCGUCCGAUUAGCUAGUUGGUGAGGUAACGGCUCACCAAGGCGACGAUCGGUAGCUGGUUUGAGAGAGCGACCAGCCACACUGGGACUGAGACACGGCCCAGACUCCUACGGGAGGCAGCAGUGGGGAUUAUUGGACAAUGGUGAAACCCUGUUCCAGCAAUGCCGCGUGGGUGAUGAAUGCCUUCGGUUUGUAAAGCCCUUUUGGCGGGGACGAUGAUGACGGUACCCGCAGAAGAAGCCCCGGCUAACUUCGUGCCAGCAGCCGCGGUAA